AGGGCGAGGAAUGCCAGGACCAGGAAGGGAGAUGACUUCCCCACAAAUUCAUACAUCACACUGCCAAAGGGGGCCCCGACUGCAAGAGAAAGAAUGAUGCUGGCACUUGUCCACAGCCUUUCCCUGUGCUGUUGUGCUGCCUGCUUUGUCUCCAGGGACAAGGAGAUAUUUCUUGGACUAACAAGGGCAGUAAAGCUGCAUGGGAAAUGAUAUCCCUGCAUAGGGUGAGGUGCUGCAGAUGCCAUUUACAAGGUGAUCUCUUUUCUCCCAUCAUUUCUGUUUUCUUAAACUUCUGACAUUUUGCUCCAUGAUUUCUUUCUUUAAAGCAGAACUGAUCCCAUCAUUCAUUCAGGAGAUGGAGAUUCACUGCAGAGAAAGAGCAUAAAUCCUCAGCAUAUUCUCCCCUUCUCUGUUGCGGUGUAAAUCUGCCACUGAGGCCAUUUGUCUGGCUUCUGCAUGAUCAAAACCCAUUGCCAAUAACGUGAGAUGAGUGCAUCCUACCAAGGAAUUCCCUGGGUGUGCAUUAGAGCAGAAGUUGAAGCCUUUAAAUAUACUUCAUGAGUUGAGAAUUG